AUUGAACGCUGGCGGCAGGCCUAACACAUGCAAGUCGAGCGAGCGGCGGACGGGGGAGUAAUGCCCGGGAAACUGCCUGAUGUAGGGGGAUAACUACUGGAAGCGAUAACUACUACCACAUACCCUCCGAUGUGACCCGAUGGGUUUAGCUAGUGGGUGGGGUAGCGGCUCACCUAGGCGACGAUCCCUAGCGGGUCUGAGAGGAUGACCAGCAACACUGGAACUGAGACACGGUCCAGACUCCUACGGGAGUCAGCAGUGGGGAAUAUUGCACAAUGGGCGAAAGCCUGAUGCAGCAAUGCCGCGUGUGUGAAGAAGGCGUUCGGGUUGUAAAGCCCGUUCAGCGGGGAGGCGUUACCCGCAGAAGAAGCACCGGCUAACUCCGUGCCAGCCGCCGCGGUAAUAC
rnacentral:rRNA from 1 species